CCUACGGGUGGCAGCAGUGGGGAAUAUUGGACAAUGGGGGCAACCCUGAUCCAGCCAUGCCGCGUGUGUGAAGAAGGCCCUCGGGUUGUAAAGCACUUUCAGUGAGGAAGAACGCCUGGUGGUUAAUACCCAUCAGGAAAGACAUCACUCACAGAAGAAGCACCGGCUAACUCCGUGCCAGCAGCCGCGGUAAUACGGAGGGUGCGAGCGUUAAUCGGAAUUACUGGGCGUAAAGCGCGCGUAGGUGGCUUGAUAAGCCGGUUGUGAAAACCCCGGGCUCAACCUGGGAACGGCAUCCGGAACUGUCAAGCUAGAGUGCAGGAGAGGAAGGUAGAAUUCCCGGUGUAGCGGUGAAAUGCGUAGAGAUCGGGAGGAAUACCAGUGGCGAAGGCGGCCUUCUGGACUGACACUGACACUGAGGUGCGAAAGCGUGGGUAGCAAACAGGAUUAGAUACCCCAGUAGUC
rnacentral:rRNA from 1 species